GUAAUCGCGGAUCAGCAUGCCGCGGUGAAUACGUUCCCGGGCCUUGUACACACCGCCCGUCACACCAUGAGAGUCGGGAACACCCGAAGUCCGUAGUCUAACCGCAAGGAGGGCGCGGCCGAAGGUGGGUCCGGUAAUUGGGGUGAAGUCGUAACAAGGUACC
rnacentral:rRNA from 1 species